AAUCAACGCUGGCGGCGUGCCUAACACAUGCAAGUCGAACGAGAAAGUGGAGCAAUCCAUGAGUACAGUGGCGACCGGGUGAGUAACACGUGACUAACCUACCCUCGAGUGGGGGAUAACUCCGGGAAUCCGGGGCUAAUACCGCAUAACACCGCGGGGUGAAAUUCCUUGUGAUCAAAGGAGCAAUUCGCUUGAGGAGGGAGUCGCGUCUGAUUAGCUAGUUGGUGAGGUAACGGCCCACCAAGGCAAUGAUCAGUAGCCGGCCUGAGAGGGCGAACGGCCACACUGGAACUGAAACACGGUCCAGACUCCUACGGGAGGCAGCAGUGGGGAAUUUUGCGCAAUGGGGGAAACCCUGACGCAGCAACGCCGCGUGGAGGAUGAAGUCCUUUGGGAUGUAAACUCCUUUCGACCGGGACGAUAAUGACGGUACCGGAGGAAGAAGCACCGGCUAACUCUGUGCCAGCAGCCGCCGUAACAC
rnacentral:rRNA from 1 species